CGCCCAACAGCUAGCCCACCCCUGUAAAAACAACCGACCAAUAUUUAUAAACCCUAAUAUACUAUAACUUACUAAACAAAUCAUUUUUCCACCCUAGUAUGGGAGACAGAAAAGGAAAUAGGAGCAAUAGAGAAAGUACCGCAAGGGAACGCUGAAAGAGAAAUGAAACAACCCAGUAAAGCAUAAGAAAGCAGAGAUAUAACCUCGUACCUUUUGCAUCAUGAUUUAGCCAGUAUCCUCAAGCAAAGAGCGCUUUAGUUUGACCCCCCGAAACUGAGUGAGCUACUCCAAGACAGCCUAAUAAUAGGGCACACCCGUCUCUGUGGCAAAAGAGUGGGAAGAGCUUUGAGUAGAGGUGACAGACCUACCGAACUCAGUUAUAGCUGGUUGCCUGAUAAUUGGAUAGAAGUUCAGCCUCCCGGCUUCUUUCUUCACCACUUGUAUUUACCCAGACUUGAUACUUGAGAAACCGAGAGAGUUACUCAAAGGGGGUACAGCCCCUUUGAUAUAAGACACAACUUUUUUAGGAGGAUAAAGAUCAUAUUUAACCCAAAGGCAAAAUGUUUAGGUGGGCCUAAGAGCAGCCAUCCCCUCAGAAAGCGUUAUAGCUCAAACAUAAUCCUUCCCCUCCCCAUCCCGAUAAAACAAUCUUAAACCCCUAAUACUACCAGGCCAUCCCAUGCGAGCAUGGGAGUGACUAUGCUAAUAUGAGUAAUAAGAGAGUAAUAUCAUCUCUCUCCCCGCACAAGUGUAUAUCGGAACGGACCCCCCGCCGAGCUUUAACGGCCUCAGCCAAAGAGAGUAUUGAACAACACAUCAAACAACAAGAAAAUCAUUCAACAAUAAACCGUUAACCCCACACUGGUGUGCUUUUAAGGAAAGACUAAAAGAGAGUGAAGGAACUCGGCAAAUACAAGCCUCGCCUGUUUACCAAAAACAUCGCCUCUUGCAAAAUCAAUGAAUAAGAGGUCCCGCCUGCCCUGUGACUAUAAGUUUAACGGCCGCGGUAUUUUGACCGUGCGAAGGUAGCGCAAUCACUUGUCUCUUAAAUGGGGACCUGUAUGAAUGGCACCACGAGGGCUUAGCUGUCUCCACUCUCCAGUCAAUGAAAUUGAUCUCCCCGUGCAGAAGCGGGGAUAGUAACAUAAGACGAGAAGACCCUAUGGAGCUUUAGACACCAGAGCAGAUCAUGUUAAAAAUACCUAAAUAAAGGACUAAACCAAAUGACACCUGCCCUCCUGUCUUUGGUUGGGGCGACCGCGGGGAAAUACAAAACCCCCACGUGGAAUGAGAGUACUUCUCUUAUAGCUAAGAGCUCCCGCUCUAAUAAACAGAACUUCUGACCAAUAAGAUCCGGCAUUGCCGAUCAACGGACCGAGUUACCCUAGGGAUAACAGCGCAAUCCUCUUUUAGAGCCCAUAUCGACAAGAGGGUUUACGACCUCGAUGUUGGAUCAGGACAUCCUAAUGGUGCAGCCGCUAUUAAGGGUUCGUUUGUUCAACGAUUAAAGUCCUACGUGAUCUGAGUUCAGACCGGAGCAAUCCAGGUCAGUUUCUAUCUAUGAUAUGAUCUUUUCUAGUACGAAAGGACCGAAAAGAAGGGGCCCAUGCCUAAGGUACGCCUCACCCCCACCCAAUGAAAACAACUAAAGUAGGCAAAAGGGCAUACCCCUAAAGGCCAAAGAAAAUGGCAU
rnacentral:rRNA from 1 species